AUGACUUUUCUCCCCAGCCCGCUAAGGUGCACGUAGCCAUACCAUGUUUGUCUUGGCUAAGCUCGACCCUCUGAAAAUAAAUGAAACUUGGGCGCAGGAUUUAGGUGCCAAAAUAUGGAGUUCUUCACCGUCCCGCGCUAUCCCUGAAUACUUGGGCAGAAAAUGUCCACUUUACCUUCCGUACGUGCGGGAUUCAAAGAUGGCUGCCUCCAGUAUCCGUGACGAGAGGACGCGAACUUACUACCUCCCAGUCGUCCGUGCUCCGUACACCUGCAACUUCAGACCUUCCUCGGCCGCCGUAGGCCGGCUUGGAGGCUGGGCGAGGGCCCAGAAGUGGAAGAAUUCAGGAAAGUGCAGGCUCUGGGAAGUCUCGGUGGGUUCCCCGCAAAAUCAGGGAUGGCGUCUCACUAUGUUGCCCAGGCUGAUCUUGAACUCCCGACCUCAAGUGAUCCUCUCUCCUUGGCCUCCUAAAGUGCUGGGAUUCCAGCCCGCAGGUCCUACUCCAGGAGCAAGACACUUCAAGUGAGGUGAGGAGGAGGUUCCAGGACCUGGAUACCAUCCUUUGCAGGGAUGUAAUUCACCAG
rnacentral:sRNA from 1 species